UCGUAAAGCUCACAUGUGGCGGUGGGGCUCAGCGGCAUUUGGCAAAAAGAUUUAUCGUAACACUAGGUAUAUAGGGUUUUUUGUUUGUUUGUUCGUUUUUGUUUUUUAAUCUUUAAAAAAGGUGAGUGCAGGGAUCCAAACAUCCUUGUGCAGCAAUUGGUCCUGCACUGACUGUCAGCUCAGUCUGUACUUUGAAUGCUGUAGUGUGAUACUGUUUGUAGGUUAGAUAAGGGGAUCACUGCCGAGUCUUCAGGAUGGAAUUCAUGUCUUCAUAAGAAGAGACCACAGACCCACUGACCCUGGUCCCUGUUCCCAUUACAGUUUCUCUGUCCCAAAGGCUGCCUCUGCCUUUCGAGUGCUGGGAUUAAAGGCACCACUGCCCAGCGACUUCACCACUUCCAUAUCUGAAAAUUAAACAUCUUUUGUAGGCUAUCAAGUCUAUAGGAAUUUUAAUUUUAUCAAUGUGACAAAUAGACACUGAUGUUCAUAGUGGCAUUGUUUGUAGAAGUCAAAAGGAAGAGGCAAUCCCAGUGUCUGUCUACUGACAAAAUGUGGUAUGCAUUUAUAAUGAAAUAUUCCACUGGAAACAGGAGAGCAAUAUUAAUACAUGCUACAAUAUGGUCGGAAUUAGAAGGCAUUGUGCAAAGGAAAAUAAGCAAAUCACAAAGGACAAAGACUGCAUGCUUCUACUUGUGUGAGACUCUUUGAGUACUUACACAGAGAAGGAGGUUAUUAUAGAGCUGGGCAGAGUGGAGCCAGGAAUGAGACUUUCUCUGAAUACAGAGUUUCAACUGAGAAGGAUGAAGAAGUUCUUGGAGGUGGAUGGUGGUGUUGAUUGCAAAAUAAUACGAGUGCAUAAAAGCCAUAUAAUUAAUAGAAUCAAUUCUAUGUUUCCCAUAUUUUGUCAUAAUUAUGUAUUUGGGGUAAUAAUGCCUGGCUUAUGAUACAGUCUGUAGUCAAUAAGUAUAAUUGUUAAUAUUUUUAUUAAUCUUUUGGAAAUUUUAUUAAAGCUUUUUUAUGUGUGUGGGUGUUUUAAUUGCAUCUAUGUCUGUGCACCACUGGGUACCUGCUGCCUGCAGAGGUCCGAAGAAGGCACUGGGUUCUGUGGUACUGGAGUUACAGAUGAGUGUCAGCUGCCUUGUAGGUGCUAGGAAUUGAACCCAGGCCCUCUGGAAGAGCAGCUGAUGCUCUUAAUUGCUGAGCCAUCUCUCCACCCCUAUUGAUCUCAUAGUAUGUCCUACUGCUGCUAUUCUGAAAAAAAAAAGAAAAAACAUGGAAAGGUGUGAAUCACAGAAGAAAGGCCGAUCAUUUAGAAAGCUAUACAGUAAAGGGAUUUGAGUUUUUACUCUUAAGGCUGCAUAAGAAUUUUCACCAUAUGGAGAAGCACAACUGCGGUGUGUAAGCUGCUCUCUAUGGACAAGAGUGGAGAGAAUAGUUAAGAGGUGAUUACAGAGAUGUGUUGGAGACAUUCUAAGCAUGCAAGUUUAUCUACUUAGGUACUGCUCAGAAUGGCAGUGAUGUAGAGGACAUGAGCAUACUUUGGAAGACUGACUUGUAGAAAGUGAAUUUUAUCUUUAAAAAGAUCUCUGCCUGUAUGUGGGAUUUGCUGUGUAAAUCUGUUGUCUCUUAUCACCUACCUGGUUGCUUUGGAGAUUUUAAGAAAAUAAAACACCUUUUAUUUUUCUUUGACAGUUUUAUACAUGCAUCGUAUCACUCCCAGCUUCCCCUUUCAGCCCCUAGGCACGCCAACACCGCUGUCCUUUCCUACUCUAUCUUUUGAUCCUCAGUAAUUUCAUGAUUCAAAACACAGAUAUAAUGUCAAAAUGAAGGAAAUUUAAGUUCUAAAAUUUUCAUGGAUCAAGACUAGAAUUUUGUAUGCACUCUGGCUUUUCCAGCACAUGAAUAGAAUGUCUUUUAAGACAUAACUGAUGGUUUGCACAUUCAUAUGCAUAUACAUGGGUUGGCAUGUGCGCAACUCGCUGCAUAAGUAGAACAACUUUUAGGAUUAGUCUUAAACCUAUGGGUCCUGGGAGCAAACUCAGGUUGUCAGGCUUGCAAGCACAAGAGGUGCUUUAUCCUCAAAGCCAUCUUAUUGUCCCUUGACUGUUACAUUUAUCUCUAUGUAAGAUGCUCUUAGAAAUAUUUUGAAAGAAGAAUCACACCCCCACACACACACAUUUUCUUAAUUAAGAAUUGUUCUUUGUUGUUUUUCUUUGCCUCUCCCCUCCGCCUUCUCUUUUUUCCUUUCCGACCAGAAGGUGGCGCUCUAAGCUCAGGAUUCUGAUGUUCCCUUUUUGAAAUGAUGUUCACUUUUGAAAUCCCCCACCCAUAGGCACUUUCAGAAAAAAAAGUAUGUCUGUUUAAUAAUCCAUUUAGAUGCUCCUAAUGUCAUCGUUCGGAGUGUGUUCUGUUGGUAAUUGCUUAUGAACGGUUCUCCACAUGAUUGCUGAGGUGGUCAGUUUAUUAGCACUGCAACUAAGACAAGAUUAAUGUUGAAUUCUGUUGGUAAAUCUAUCCUUGAUUCACAUCGACUCAUUUUAGGUUACUAAUUUUUGUGACCUGUGUCAUUUCAUUUCAAAUUUCUUAUUGUGCGACCUCGUGCUAUUCACCAUUUCACUGUGAAAGUCUGUUUUACAUGUUAAACAUAAUAAAUAACUACUCAAAAGACUUAAGAAGGGAAGUGCAGAAAUCAAUAAUUCAUUUCAGAACAAUCCGGUGCUUUAUUCUGAAGUCAGAGGCAAGCUGUUUUCAUUGUAAUGUGAUUUUGCUUUGACUAGUCUUUGUUCAGUUAUAACAUAUUACUACUUUGGAAAUAAAGCAAUAUAAGUGUUGUCUUCUUUU